GCGUUGCAUUGCUGCAUAGUGGCUCCUGGUUCCAGUUUCUAAUCUCCAGUCUCUUGUUUCCAGCAUCUUCAGGUGAUCUCCUGGUUCCAGUAUUCCUGUGGAACUACAGGUCCCAGCAUUUACUUCAGCUCCAACUUCUGCUACAGUCAGCCUCCACCUUUUGCAAUAUGUCUCUGGAUCAGGAGAGAGAUUUCAUCUCCAGAUUUUUGGACCUCUAUCAAUCUCAUGAGUGCAUGUGGCUUGUAAAGUCAAAGGAGUAUUCAAACAAGAUUAAAAGAACCCAUGCCUAUGAGGAGCUUGCCACCUAUAGCAAGCUAUACUAUGAUGCAGCAUCAGUCUUGUGGGUUUGGAAGAAAAUACAAAAUCUCAGAACUGUGUUCCUGAAGGAACAUAAAAAGAUAGAGUCCAAGAGGUCAGGAGCCGGGACUGAGGACAUCUAUCAGACCAACCUUUGGUUCUGCAAGCAACUAUUGUUCACAGUCCAGCAGGAACCAGUCCAGAGAUCUGUGGUCCUCAUGGCCGGGGCAAAAGAGGGCGGUGCCGAGAGAGUAUCUGGUUGAAUCUCCUGAAGCCUCGUCAGUAAAUAGUCCCAGCAAUCUAAAAUGGCAGAAAUGACAAUUGUUCCACAGUCACUUCCACUUCACUUUUUCUUAUGUACUCCUCCUGCCACGGCACCACACUGUCUCCAUUGAAGUAGGCCAAAUAAUCCUCUCUGACCGUUUUGGCCAGAGUAGUCCCAGUUUCGACCACUGGUGGUACCGCCACCGAGGUGAACUGAGAAACAUCUUCCAGAUGGUCUCGGUCUUCCACUGCAGCUCCACUGUCCUUUGCUAGGUGGCUUUCUUGUGUAGGAAGUUGUGCAGGAUACAGCAUGCAGAGGCAACCCAGUCAAUCUUCUCCACUUUUAAAUUAAUUGCCAUGUGAAAAAUUCUGAAUCGGUUGCUCAAGAUCCCAAAGGCAUUCUCUACAAUGCACCUCGCCCGAAACAGCUGGUAAUUGAAGACCAACUUCUCUUUAUUGAGGGCCCUUUGUGGAAAUACCUUCAUGACAUGCUCGUGAAGGGCAAAGGCCUUGCCGGCAAUGAACACGAAGUGUAGGUCAUACUUUGUUGCCUCUCUAGAUGGCAAAUGCAGGAUCUUGGUGGUGAGCCGGUCGUAGAAUGCUGUGUUCUUAAACAAGCCACCAUCAGAGACAGCCAUUCUUCCCCACAUCUACGAACAGAAACUCGUAGUCACCACCGCCAUUAGAACCAUGCUAAAGUUCCCCUUUCACCUCUGCAGCGAGUGAACUGCCAAUAGCUCUCGAAUUCAUCCCCAAUAGCUAUACACUCUUCCAUGCUUGUAGGGAACUGUAAAAUAUUUAAAAAAAAAAAAGGAUAUAUAGAGCUUACUCCUAGCACCCCGGUACUGAGUCCCUCUACAAGUCUCACCGCCACUGCCAAAGAAACAGCACCAAAAAAAGCAGUAAGCCCAGGGCAGGACCCUCUAUUAAAACAGGCAAGGGAUGCUUUAUUGAAGCCAUUGGAUGACAGUGGCUUAUUUAGAACAUAUGUCAGAAAUGCGCAUCGAGCCAUGGACACUGAACAGAGAUUGUUAUUUGAUCGAUUAAUAUCCAAGCUCAUUUAUUAAGGGCGCAACAGUCUCCUGACCAAAAAGACAAAGAUAACAUCCAGCCCCUUUGUUCCUCCCCCCCGCUCCACUCCACUCCCCAUCACUGCACUACUAUUUCACCCAAACAUAUCCCCAGACGUACUUUACACCAAUGCCUGACUACACCCCCCUCCUACCAAUGAGAUCCCAACCAGCCCUCUCCUACUAACCUGCUCCCCAACCAGCCCCCUCCUACCAACCUGUUCCCCCACUAACCUCCUCCUACCAACGUGUUCCAAUACCCACCUCCUCCUACCAACCUUGUCUCCACACCAGCUCCUACCAACCAGCUCCCCAACUAGCCCCCUCCUACCAACCAGCCCCCUCCAGGCAACCUGCUGCACCACCCACCUCCCCCAACCAACCUGCUGCACCACCCACCUCCUCAAACCAACCUGCUGCUGCACCAUCCAACUCCUCCAACCAACCUGCUUCACUACCCUACCACCCCAUUGUAUUUUCUGCUCUUCUGGAAUCUGAGGAGGACAGUACAGAAUUGUUUGCACUGGGAUGUGUUCCCACACCCCCAGUCAUCUGCAAGGAUCCUAAUCCCUGAUAAGUAUGGGGCUGUCUGCUGCAUGGUGAAGUCUGGCACAGAUUCAGGCCAAACACAUGCUCCAAGUGCAACUUAAUGGGUCCGGGACCAUUAAGAUUGUACCUGUAUCAUGUGUUUUGUCCUCCACCCUGAAAUCUGUGUCAAAACCACCGAGCAGCAUAACGCCCUAUACGAGUAUUUGUCAAGGAUUGGGAUACUUGUACAUGCUUUUUGCAGACCAAAAAAGCUUCAUACAAAAACAAAAAUGUAUCUUGUGAGCAUAGUUUUACAAAUUUUAAAUUUUGAAAUAUAUUUAUAUUCAAUUUAAUGAAACUUUCACUGAGGUUACUAUUAAAAAUAAAAAAGUUUAAUAAAACAUUUUUUGUAGUUUCACUAUCAAA